CCGAGGUCCUGUGUCUAGGGUCCUGUGUCGACGAGGCCUGAGGUCCUGGGUCUAGUGUUCUGUGGUGAUGAGGCCUGAGGUCCUGGGUCUAUGUCCUGUGUCGAUGAGGCCUGAGGUCCUGGGUCUAGUGUCCUGUGUUGACGAGGCCUGAGGUCCUGGUUGCAAUGUCUUCUCCUGGGAGCCCAGGAGGAGGUGGUUCUAGACAGGUAGUUCCUGCUCUUGGCUAUCUGCCCAGCUGGGCUCGCCCUGAAAGCAGGAAGUGGAGAGGGAUUAAUAGUUAACUAGCAAUAAAGAUGUAUGAAAAAA